rnacentral:rRNA from 1 species
AGUCGAGGGGCAGCAUGAACUUAGCUUGCUAAGUUUGAUGGCGACCGGCGCACGGGUGAGUAACACGUAUCCAACCUGCCGAUGACUCGGGGAUAGCCUUUCGAAAGAAAGAUUAAUACCCGAUGGCAUAAUUCUUCCGCAUGGUAGAAUUAUUAAAGAAUUUCGGUCAUCGAUGGGGAUGCGUUCCAUUAGGUUGUUGGCGGGGUAACGGCCCACCAAGCCUUCGAUGGAUAGGGGUUCUGAGAGGAAGGUCCCCCACAUUGGAACUGAGACACGGUCCAAACUCCUACGGGAGGCAGCAGUGAGGAAUAUUGGUCAAUGGACGAGAGUCUGAACCAGCCAAGUAGCGUGAAGGAUGACUGCCCUAUGGGUUGUAAACUUCUUUUAUACGGGAAUAAAGUGAGGCACGUGUGCCUUUUUGUAUGUACCGUAUGAAUAAGGAUCGGCUAACUCCGUGCCAGCAGCCGCGGUAAUACGGAGGAUCCGAGCGUUAUCCGGAUUUAUUGGGUUUAAAGGGAGCGUAGGCGGACGCUUAAGUCAGUUGUGAAAGUUUGCGGCUCAACCGUAAAAUUGCAGUUGAUACUGGGUGUCUUGAGUACAGUAGAGGCAGGCGGAAUUCGUGGUGUAGCGGUGAAAUGCUUAGAUAUCACGAAGAACUCCGAUUGCGAAGGCAGCCUGCUGGACUGUAACUGACGCUGAUGCUCGAAAGUGUGGGUAUCAAACAGGAUUAGAUACCCUGGUAGUCCACACAGUAAACGAUGAAUACUCGCUGUUUGCGAUAUACAGUAAGCGGCCAAG